AGUAAUAUGUCUGAUAAAAGAAAUAUUUUGAUAAAAUAUUAAUGUAUAAUUUUAUAUAUAUAUACUAUUACUU
rnacentral:tRNA from 1 species